rnacentral:rRNA from 1 species
GAUGAACGCUGGCGGCGUGCCUAAUACAUGCAAGUCGAGCGAACAGAUGAGGAGCUUGCUCCUCUGACGUUAGCGGCGGACGGGUGAGUAACACGUGGAUAACCUACCUAUAAGACUGAGAUAACUUCGGGAAACCGGAGCUAAUACCAGAUAAUAUAUUGAACCGCAUGGUUCAGUAGUGAAAUACGGUUUUGCUGUCACUUCUAGAUGGAUCCGCGCGGCAUUGGCUAGUUGGUAAGGUAACGGCUUGCCAAGUCAACGAUGCGUAACCGACCGGAGAGGGGGAUCGGCCACCCUGGAAGGGAGACACGGACCCGAGUCCUAAGGGAGGCAGCAGUAGGGAAUCGUCCGCAAUGGGGGAAAGCAUGACGGAGCAACGCCGCGUGAGUGAUGAAGGUCCUCGGAUCGUAAAACUCUGUUAUUAGGGAAGAACAAAUGUGUAAGUAACUAUGCACGUCUUGACGGUACCUAAUCAGAAAGCCACGGCUAACUACGUG